UACGGAGGGGGCUAGCGUUGUUCGGAAUUACUGGGCGUAAAGCGCACGUAGGCGGCUUUGUAAGUUAGAGGUGAAAGCCCGGGGCUCAACUCCGGAAUUGCCUUUAAGACUGCAUCGCUAGAAUUGUGGAGAGGUAAGUGGAAUUCCGAGUGUAGAGGUGAAAUUCGUAGAUAUUCGGAAGAACACCAGUGGCGAAGGCAGCUUGCUGGGCUACUCCUGACACUGAGGUACGAAAGCGUGGGGAGCGAACAGG
rnacentral:rRNA from 1 species